UCCUCCCUGGAUUGACCUCUGUCCAUGAAGUCUUUAAUGAUACACUUCCUCAUAAAAAUAGAUGGGGAUGACCAUAUUAUGAGCUUCCAUCUUUGAAGACCAGGUAACUCCUCUUUCUCUCUCAAUCCCUUAUUUUUUCUCUUGCAGGAGCUUUAUUCUCUCUCAAAUCAGAGUUUCUCCUCUCUUUAUUUUGGUAAAAAAUUUCCCCCCAACAAUAUAAUGAUGUGGCACAUUCCCUCCUGACUGAUUCUCUGUGCUGUGUCUUAGACCUUUUAGUAUCGUCCAAAGCCACAUAUCAAGUUUCGUUUGAUUAGCAGCAGAAUACCGAUGGUAAUGACUAAAAUGGAUUCAAUCCCUUAAGUUAGGGAUUCAAUUGAAACUUUUCAAGGGUUGG
rnacentral:lncRNA from 1 species